UGAAAUGAGGCCUGGCCGAGAUUUUUGCGGAGGAAGAUGCAGAGAGACCAGCUAACACGAGGUUACUGUGGAAAACUAGGCUCAUACGGCUAUAAAGAGCAGGAAGGGAUGAUCAGGCCUGAGCUGAUCUUCUUGGCAGCCCCUUCAAAGUCUCGUUCUGGAACUCCUUGACCCCUUUCCCCCCUUGGAUUUGGACUUUUUUUUGGCCACUUCGUCAAUCCAUCUGCCACCGCAGUUAAUCACCAAUGUCCUUUAAAGAUGUCAUACCUACA